GACAGAGGAAGGAUUGACAGAUUGAUAGCUCUUUCUUGAUUCUUUGGGUGGUGGUGCAUGGCCGUUCUUAGUUGGUGGAGUGAUUUGUCUGGUUAAUUCCGUUAACGAACGAGACCUUAACCUGCUAAAUAGGGUACGGGAAUAAGCUUAUGCUGUCCCGUGAUCGCUUCUUAGAGGGACUUUGCGGUUAUAAAUCGCAAGGAAGUUUAAGGCAAUAACAGGUCUGUGAUGCCCUUAGAUGUCCUGGGCCGCACGCGCGCUACACUGAUGCGUUCAUCGAGUUUAUCCUUGGCCGAGAGGCCCGGGUAAUCUUUAGUACGCAUCGUGAUGGGGAUCGAUUAUUGCAAUUGUUAAUCGUGAACGAGGAAUGCCUAGUAUGCGCAAGUCAUCAGCUUGUGCAGAUUACGUC
rnacentral:rRNA from 1 species